rnacentral:rRNA from 1 species
GACGAACGCUGGCGGCGUGCUUAACACAUGCAAGUCGGACGGAAAGGCCCUGCUUUUGUGGGGUGCUCGAGUGGCGAACGUGUGAGUAACACGUGAGUAACCUGCCCUUGACUUUGGGAUAACUUCAGGAAACUGGGGCUAAUACCGGAUAGGAGCUCCUGCUGCAUGGUGGGGGUUGGAAAGUUUCGGCGGUUGGGGAUGGACUCGCGGCUUAUCAGCUUGUUGGUGGGGUAGUGGCUUACCAAGGCUUUGACGGGUAGCCGGCCUGAGAGGGUGACCGGCCACAUGGGGACUGAGAUACGGCCCAGACUCCUACGGGAGGCAGCAGUGGGGAAUAUUGCACAAUGGGCGGAAGCCUGAUGCAGCAACGCCGCGUGCGGGAUGACGGCCUUCGGGUUGUAAACCGCUGUCGCCUGUGACGAAGCGUGAGUGACGGUAAUGGGUAAAGAAGCACCGGCUAACUACGUG